GAGUUUGAUCAUGGCUCAGAUUGAACGCUGGCGGCAUGCCUUACACAUGCAAGUCGAACGGUAACGGGUCCUUCGGGAUGCCGACGAGUGGCGAACGGGUGAGUAAUAUAUCGGAACGUGCCCAGUAGUGGGGGAGUAACUGCUCGAAAGAGCAGCUAAUACCGCAUACGACCUGAGGGUGAAAGGGGGGGAUCGCAAGACCUCUCGCUAUUGGAGCGGCCGAUAUCAGAUUAGCUAGUUGGUGGGGUAAAGGCCUACCAAGGCAACGAUCUGUAGUUGGUCUGAGAGGACGACCAGCCACACUGGGACUGAGACACGGCCCAGACUCCUACGGGAGGGCAGCAGUGGGGAAUUUUGGACAAUGGGCGCAAGCCUGAUCCAGCAAUGCCGCGUGCAGGAAGAAGGCCUCGGUUGUAAC
rnacentral:rRNA from 1 species